rnacentral:piRNA from 1 species
UGAACCGUAGGAGAUUCUGAGCAAU